GUUCUGGCUUCAGCAGCACAUAUACUAAAAUUAGAACUACUCGGAGAAGAAUAUAGCAUGGCCCCUGCACAAGAUGACCCACAAAUUUGUGAAGUGUAAAAACUAAAU
rnacentral:snRNA from 1 species